GACGAACGCUGGCGGCGUGCCUAAUACAUGCAAGUCGAGCGCGGGAAGCUUGCGGAAUCUUUCGGGAGGAAGUGAGCGGACCGAGCGGCGGACGGGUGAGUAACACGUGGGCAACCUGCCCGUAAGACGGGGAUAACCCCGGGAAACCGGGGCUAAUACCGGAUAGGUGACCUUUCUGCAUGGAGGGGUCAUGAAAGGCGGCGGAAGCCGUCGCUUACGGAGGGGCCCGCGGCGCAUUAGCUAGUUGGUGAGGGAAGGGCUCACCAAGGCGACGAUGCGUAGCCGGCCUGAGAGGGUGAACGGCCACACUGGGACUGAGACACGGCCCAGACUCCUACGGGAGGCAGCAGUAGGGAAUCUUCCGCAAUGGACGGAAGUCUGACGGAGCAACGCCGCGUGAGUGAGGAAGGCCUUCGGGUCGUAAAGCUCUGUUGUUCGUGAAGAAGGGGUUGGCCAGGAAAUGGGCCGACAUGGACGGUAGCGAA
rnacentral:rRNA from 1 species